GAUUAGUGGCGAACGGGUGAGUAUCACGUGAGUAACCUGCCCUUGACUCUGGGAUAAGCCUGGGAAACUGGGUCUAAUACCGGAUAUGACCAGUCCUCGCAUGAGGUGCUGGUGGAAAGAUUUUAUCGGUCUUGGAUGGACUCGCGGCCUAUCAGCUAGACGGUGAGGUAAUGGCUCACCGUGGCGAUGACGGGUAGCCGGCCUGAGAGGGUGACCGGCCACACUGGGACUGAGACACGGCCCAGACUCCUACGGGAGGCAGCAGUGGGGAAUAUUGCACAAUGGGCGCAAGCCUGAUGCAGCGACGCCGCGUGCGGGAUGACGGCCUUCGGGUUGUAAACCGCUUUCAGCAGGGAAGAAGCUUUUGUGACGGUACCUGCAGAAGAAGCGCCGGCUAACUACGUGCCAGCAGCCGCGGUAAUACGUAGGGCGCGAGCGUUAUCCGGAAUUAUUGGGCGUAAAGAGCUCGUAGGCGGCUUGUCGCGUCUGCUGUGAAAGCCCGGGGCUUAACCCCGGGUGUGCAGUGGGUACGGGCAGGCUAGAGUGCAGUAGGGGAGACUGGAAUUCCUGGUGUAGCGGUGAAAUGCGCAGAUAUCAGGAGGAACACCGAUGGCGAAGGCAGGUCUCUGGGCUGUUACUGACGCUGAGGAGCGAAAGCAUGGGGAGCGAACAGGAUUAGAUACCCUGGUAGUCCAUGCCGU
rnacentral:rRNA from 1 species